UACAGAGGUCUCAAGCGUUGUUCGGAUUCACUGGGCGUAAAGGGUGCGUAGGUGGUUGGGUAAGUUUGAUGUGAAAGCUCAGGGCUUAACCCUGAAAUGGCAUUGAAUACUACUCAACUGGAGGUUUGGAGGGGGACUGGAAUUCUUGGUGUAGCAGUGAAAUGCGUAGAUAUCAAGAGGAACACCAGUGGCGAAGGCGAGUCCCUGGACAACACCUGACACUGAGGCACGAAAGCUAGGGGAGCAAACAGG
rnacentral:rRNA from 1 species